AGUUCGUGGAGUGAUCUGUCUGCUUAAUUGCGUUUCACUAUAUAAAGGCCUGCCAUUUUUCACUUGUUCCUACUGUGUCUUUUUAGGCAUGUAGACAGUGUUUAUAAUGGUGCUGUGCCUUGAAGGCAACGAACGUGACCGCAGCCUCUUGUUGCCUCUCUGUCAUUAAUUUGACACUUUUAAUUUCUUUGCUCUCAUUUCUAUGUUCUGUAGUGUAGCUUAUUCCUUUUUUAAGGGUAGGAUGCAUUGCAAGCUGGGGUGGGACGGUGUUAAAAGAAAGAGGCUAACUAGAGGGACCGCUAGUGCUUCCAAAACAGAGGAAGGUUGCGGCAAUAACAGGU
rnacentral:rRNA from 1 species